rnacentral:rRNA from 1 species
CGCCUCUUGCAAAACCAAAGAAUAAGAGGUCCCGCCUGCCCGGUGACUAUAUGUUUAACGGCCGCGGUAUUUUGACCGUGCGAAGGUAGCGUAAUCACUUGUCUUUUAAAUGGAGACCUGUAUGAAUGGCAUAACGAGGGCUUAACUGUCUCCUCUUUCCAGUCAAUGAAAUUGAUCUCCCCGUGCAGAAGCGGGGAUAAAUACAUAAGACGAGAAGACCCUAUGGAGCUUUAGACACCAAGACAGAUCAUGUUAAACACCCCUUAACAAAGGCCCGAACUUAAUGACCCCCUGUCCUAAUGUCUUCGGUUGGGGCGACCAUGGGGCAGCACAAAACCCCCAUGCGGACUGGGAGAACAAACCCAAAACCCUUUUUCCCACACUCCCACAAGCAAGAGUUACAACUCUAACUAGCAGAACCUCUGACCUCUUACGAUCCGGCUUCCGCCGAUCAACGGACCAAGUUACCCUAGGGAUAACAGCGCAAUCCCCUUUUAGAGCCCAUAUCGACAAGGGGGUUUACGACCUCGAUGUUGGAUCAGGACAUCCUAAUGGUGCAGCCGCUAUUAAGGGUUCGUUUGUUCAACGAUUAAAGUCCU